rnacentral:piRNA from 1 species
UAAAGUUCAAUUUCAAGAAAA